rnacentral:rRNA from 1 species
CAGCCGUAAACUAUGCUCGCUAGGUGUCAGGCAUGGCGCGACCGUGUCUGGUGCCGCAGGGAAGCCGUGAAGCGAGUCACCUGGGAAGUACGGCCGCAAGGCUGAAACUUAAAGGAAUUGGCGGGGGAGCACAACAACGGGUGGAGCCUGCGGUUUAAUUGGACUCAACGCCGGAAAUCUCACCGGAUAAGACAGCAGAAUGAUUGCCGGGCUGAAGACUCUGCAUGACUAGCUGAGAGGAGGUGCAUGGCGUAGACGUCU